CCAGGUCACGUGCUUCUAGCCCGGGCACCGACGGACUAUUUCUCCCUUUCUGCGGAAGGACAUAAUUGACAUGGCAAACUCAAGUCACCUUCGACUUCAGCGGGACCACGCCUUUUUCUUGCCUCGUAGCCCAGGACAGAAAGUUUGCCAGAUACACAUUUCUUUAAAGCCCUGCUCACCAAUUCGGGAGUGGCCCCUUUAAAUGCAAAUGAACCGCCUUCUCGCUCUCGCCCCCCGCCCCCAUCCCAACUUCGCUCCUCGUGCCCAGACUCCGCCAGCUGCCAUUGACGUCACGCGUGCGUCAGCGUCGCCAGCCCAACCAGACGGCACGUGGGGGGAAGAAGGUGGCCUUAAAGGGCCAGCCGCCUUCGGCCGGCAGGGUCGCAGCUGUGAGUUUGGCCUUGGAAAGGAGGAAUGAAAUGAGAGGUGGGGAAAUCUGUUGGAGCGAGAGGACGUGCAGGAUAGACGUUAGGAAGGACAGGUAGGAGUUGUGCUCCUUCCCAGAGUAGGAGGGCCAGGCGUUUCCUCUAGACUCCCCAGAAGGUUGGGGUUUGCGCCCGGGGAGAGCAGCGCUGGAGGAGAACAGCUCUGAGGGUAGAGGAGGCUGGCACUUAAGACUCGCCCAGUUAUAAUGUCAGUCCUUCCUUCGUCCCUGCCCCGCAUGUCCGCAACGCAAGGAACUCGUUCUCCUCCGCAUCUCCAGCACGGUGCAUUUCCAGCACGGAGAGCAAAGCUCCUGGUAGGCAGGUAUUCGGUAUUUGUAGAACCAAUGGGAUCCAGUGCAAAGUCGCCUCCUUCAGGAGGCUCUCCCUGAAUGCCCCACCGGCGGGCUAGCGCGUCCCAGCUGCUAAGGACGGACCGCCCACAGCAUUCAAUGAACCUGCGUCUUCCUUCCUUGCAUUAGCGACCACGAGGCAGUGCUGAAGCGCUCAGAUCUUGGAGUGAUGUAGACACGGGGUCGAAUCCCCUUUAUACUGUUUACUGGCUGAGGGACUUUGGAACAAGUGUGUUCAUCUUACCUCUGCUAAGUGUCAAAUGGGGCUAAUGCUGCUUGGACCACAUGUUAGCGGGAUUGGUUGAAGGAGGCGGCCCCUCUUGCAUGGUAUCUGUUUCAUUGUAAGCCGCUCAAUGAUGGUGGGGAGUGCGUUUUAGGAUGCUUCCCUCCCCCACUAAACUGUGUGCUUAUGGAGAGCGAGGACCGUGCCACACUAAUUUAUUCCCAGAACCCACACCAUGCAGGGUUUAGGGUUGGUGAUUUAAAAAUGUUCGCUGAGUGAAUAAACAUGAGUGAAUGAGUGAUUUCAGUAUUUCCUGAAAUCUGACCUCCAAACCCACCCCUGAAGCUGUUACCCAAAGGGAGAAAACAUUACAAACGCCCCCCUCUGUGCCCCAGCUUUUCAGCUCUGUGGCAGAGGUUGGGGUGAGGCCCUAAUCACUGUGGUUGAACCAAAAGUAUUAUGCAAACAAGCCAGAAAUGAUGGGUCUGCAGCGGAGAGUUGAGGGGGCCUCCCCACCCCAGCUCUGCUGCUUAGAACCCUGACCCGGGACCCCCAGGCUGGGCUGCCAGGGGCAGAGGACACUAAAUGGAGCUGGACGAGGGGAGUUUCUUGCCCCUUCAGAGUCUCUUAGCCCAGGCACGGGUCCAUCCUCGGCCUCUCCUUCUCCGGAGCCCUGUCUGUCCUGUGCCCGGCUCUGCCUCCCAUCCCCCACCCCAACCUCCAUUCCUUCUACAGCUUCCCCGCGGUUAUAGUGGGGGGUGAGGGGGGCACAAGGCCUCCUACCACCUGAUUCCAGCUCGCUGGCCAGAGGAGCAAGAGCCACCUCAUCCUGGUUCGGCCUGGCUCGUAGCUGCUUAUCGAUCUGAUUUUCGAUAUCUGUCACCAUCUCUGAAGUAGAAGGGCGUUCAGACAACAGAAGGAACUUCCUGCCAGGGGAGGAGCUCUGAGAGCCCUCUCCUUCCCUGAAGACCAGGAGGAAGUGGGGUGACCCUCCUCUGGGGGAGAGCAACCCUGUCAGCUCAGGAACCGCGAGGGGCACGGAUGGGUCCCCACAGGACUCUCCCCGCUGCCUGGGUGCCGGCUCCACCCCCUGCCGGGGUAGGGUGCUGUCCAGGAGCAUUCUGUGUUCCAGAAAACCCCAAAAUAACCCAACUUUGCUGUCCAGCUGCUAUUUCUGUCCAUCUUGUUUAAUUAUUCAAACCCAAGUUGGGGAGUGAACUAUAAAAAGCUCUCCUACUUGGGGACCCAGGAGAGCUGGGAGGCUCGCCAGGCUGCAUUACCAACAGGGCCACAUGGUUUGGGUGAGGUCACUCGGUCCGGUCUCCUGCCUGAAAGUUCCAUCUGCUGUUUGCCUGCUUCCUCUGCUACAAGGCAGAGGCCAGGCCUCCCUCCCUGCAUCUCCGGCUCUGUGGCAGCCCGUCCUGUCCUGCCGGGGAGCCGGGCUCCAGCCCGCACUCUGGAAGCGUGCGCUCACUGCUUCCUAGCCCUGGUUCUUAUCCCACAGAUCCUAUUAUCAGACCCAAGCAUCCAGGACUGAGGGGGUGGGGUGGCAGGAAGUGCAGGUAAAGAGGUCAAGUCAGGUGGACAGUGCGAUGGACCCUGGGCCCUUGGAGGGCACUCUGUCAGUGGGGGGGCUGGGGGACGCUUUUCUGGGUGGGGCAGGUUCCUGUCACAGGUGCUGAGCUUCUUCAGGGGCUUCUCUUGGGGACUCUGAUAUUGUAGCUGAAGGGACAGAGGGAAAGCAGCAGGGACUUUGUUUUUCUGGGCCUAAUCCUCUUCUGGUCGCCCAGAAGUUCAACGUCCGUUUCCAUUGAAACUGAAGCCCAGGUUGCAGGUGGCGGUGGGAGGUGCGGAAAGCAGGGUACCCCUGGGGGUCUGUUCUGGGAUCCCCCUCCCCCCUCGGGCCUUUCCUAGAGAGGUGAUAACAAAGGGUGUGGCCACAGUUGCUAUGGCAACUUGGGGAGCGUAGUUGGGGGGGGCGGUUAGGACUGGGCCUCGCUCAGCCUGAGCAGGAGGGGCCGAAGGAGAGGACGGGCCUGCCCUUGGGACAGAUGCAGGUGGAGGCAGACUUACAGGAUGGACAAGAGGACUAGGGCUUUGAGAAGCUGGGGGCGGCGGAGCCCGGCAGGACUUUCCAAGAGACCGUGUGGGACCCAAGUGUUAAAGAGGGCCCUGGGCUUUACCCUCGACCUGUCUGGGGGCUUGUUCCCACACAUUCCCUGGCAGCGGUUCCUGUGAAGUCCAACCUGCCCCCACCCCUGCCUCGGCUCUACUGGAGCUGCAGGGGAAGGUGCUGAGGAGGAGAUCGCGGGUGACCAAGGGCACAUUGAAAGGCCCACGCAAACCUGGUGGCCGAGUGACAACAGUACUUUGGGGGAGCCUCGAAGAGGUUUGUGGAAGGUCUCUGAGGUGUCUCCCCCUCUCGUGGCGGGGGCAGCAGGGAAGCGAUAUAUGAAGCAAGAGUUAUCAAGAAAGGGCCCGGAAGCUGUCCUCUGCUGGAGGGUAAUCUCUGCACCCGACGUGGGGCUCAAACUCACGACCCCGAGGUCAAGGGCUGGAGGUUCUUCCGACCGAGCCGGCCAGUAGCCUCAGGUGUGCAAUGUAACAAUUCGAUGCGAAUUCCUAUUGAGAAAGGAUCACCAUAGUAGGGUUAGUUAACAUUCCACAACCUCACACCAUCAUCGUGUGCGCACGGGUGUGCGUGGGGAGGACAUUUAGGACCUGCUCUCAGCAACUAUCACGUGUCGCUAACUGUAGUCACCACGCUGUGAGUUACACGCUCAGCACUGGCUCCUCUCCUGACCAGAAGGUUGUGCCCUUUGACUAACAUCCGCCAUUUCUACCCCUGCCCCCGAGAACAGCGUGAUUCACUCCUUUAACAAACAUUUAUUGCCUGCUGCGGCCGUACCCGGGACAUCUUGUUAGCGGGUCUGAGUUAGCUUUGAGGGACAUCUCUCUAGGUCCCUCCAUGGCCGGGUCCUGCUCCCCACUUUUACGUGGAAAGAGAAAAGUGGGUCCUGUCGAGGAGAUGGCGUCAGGAUGUAAAAAGACUUCAACGUAUUAGAUAAAAAUCGGGGUGCCUGGCUGGCGGUGGAGCGAGCGACUCUCGGUCUCCGGUUGUGAGUUCGAGCCCCACGCUGGGGGCACAGACUACUUUAAAAAAAUCUUUAGGGGCGCCUGGGUGGCACAGUCGGUUAAGCGUCCGACUUCAGCCAGGUCACGAUCU